AAUUACAGAAAAUUGGUUUUUAACAGUAAAUUAUUCCAUGUAUGCUUACAAAUGCAUCAUAACCUGCCCAUAUGGAUUAUGACCGUACGAAUUCUCUAAAUUUUUGCAAACAAUUUUUUCCUUUUUCUUAUAACACUAACUCACGUUCAUUUCUUAAUAUAGUGUUUUAAAGAUCAUUUGCUUAUCUAUACCAUUUGUUUAUAAUCGUAUAAUCACUUGGUUUUCAUGUAUGCUUGGCUAUAUGAAAUGUGUUGUUAUAAGCUAUUCCAUAUUCUGACGCCAUAAACAAAUGGUCGCCAUAAAUUGAACCAAUUUUCUGACUCAAAAAUGUAUAUAUGUGUAGAUUAUUAGGUCAUACUACUUUACAAAUAAGUCCACCGAUUGGAAUCCCCUUAUUAUAAUAUAAAUAAAUAUAUUGAAAGGUGGAAAUUCACGGGAUCACACUCUGAAAACUCAUAAAGCACAUUCAAUAUAAAGUUUACAUAAUACAUUAUAUUGGGUAUUUCGACUAGUCAAUCACGCAAUUAGAAUAGGAAUAUUUUGCUAUGCAAAUGCAAAUCUUUAACUAAGAUUUGGAAUUUUUCCUGAUAAUAAAUACAAUAUUACCUUAUAUCAAGUGUGAGUUAAGGAAUGUAUUUAAAACAGUUUUCAUUCGAAAUUUGAACAAUAUUCCCUACAAUCUUGGUCCAUCUAAAUUCAAUAUAUAGACAUUCCCUUACUAAUUAUUGCUUACUAAUUUGUCCAGACCUUGGUUCUGCUUCUACUAUAUAAACACCCCUCCCGUCGUUUGUUUUCCCCUCAAAUCAAGCGACGAGUCUUCGUAUAUAUACGAUUACAAACUUCUGUUUACAUAUGGCUCCUUUAGUUAUUCUUUUGUUUACACUUUAUUACAGGUUCAUAUAAAAAGCGUGUUGUUUAUGGAACUAUUGCUCAAGAGUUACAAGAUUUCUGAACAUCUACUGAUACUCCUAUAAUUACUAUGUGUAAUAAGGUUUUGGCAAAUAGGUUCAGAAGAAGGAUUCCAAGCCAAGCAUAUUGAAGACAACAAUCCAUAGAAACUUCUUCUCAUGAGAUGAGCGGGUUUACUUAUCUUUUCGCUUUCACAUUUUAUAAUUUUUAUGAUGUUUAGUUGUGUAUUAAACUCAUACAUUAUAUUAUCUCAGUCUAUGCUUAAUUUUA